UGAAAAAAUUAGAGUGCUCAAAGCAGGCGCGACGCCUGAAUAAUUGUGCAUGGAAUAAUGGAAUAGGACCUCGGUUCUAUUUUGUUGGUUUUCGGAACACGAGGUAAUGAUUAAGAGGGACAGACGGGGGCAUUCGUAUUGCGACGCUAGAGGUGAAAUUCUUGGACCGUCGCAAGACGAACUACUGCGAAAGCAUUUGCCAAGAAUGUUUCCAUUAAUCAAGAACGAAAGUUAGAGGUUCGAAGGCGAUCAGAUACCGCCCUAGUUCUAACCAUAAACGAUGCCAGCCAGUAAUCCGCCUGUGUUCCUCAAAUGACACGGCGGGCGACUUCCGGGAAACCAAAGCUUUUGGGUUCCGGGGGAAGUAUGGUUGCAAAGCUGAAACUUAAAGGAAUUGACGGAAGGGCACCACCAGAAAUGGAGCCUGCGGCUUAAUUUGACUCAACACGGGGAAACUUACCCGGCCCGGACACAGGAAGGAUUGACAGAUUAAGAGCUCUUUCUUGAUUCUGUGGGUGGUGGUGCAUGGCCGUUCUUAGUUGGUGGGGCGACUUGUCUGGUUAAUUCCGAUAACGAACGAGACUCUAGCCUACUAAAUAGACGUUCCGAUCCUCUUUCGUCGGACGUUCUUCUUAGAGGGACAAGCGGCGUUUAGCCGCACGAGACARAGCAAUAACAGGUCUGGGAUGCCCUUAGAUGUCCGGGGCCGCACGCGCGCUACAUUGAAGGAAUCAGCGUGUGCUUUCCCUGUCCGAAAGGACUGGGUAACCCGUUGAACCUCCUUCGUGCUGGGGAUUGGCGAAUGUAACUA
rnacentral:rRNA from 1 species